ACAAGGGUCAAGAAAUCAGAACUCUUAUCCUGCUUGCAGGAUAAGAAUUCUGACUUGCUGACCCGCUCAUACAUGAGGAAGCAGCGAUUUUCCUUUGGAAAAUCAGCGGAUUCCGAAUGUAUGUAGAAUUGUGGGAGUUGCGAAGCAACGGAACAAUUCGU
rnacentral:sRNA from 1 species